GACGGAGGGGGCUAGCGUUGUUCGGAAUUACUGGGCGUAAAGAGCGCGUAGGCGGUCUGGCAAGUUGGAAGUGAAAGCCCGGGGCUUAACCUCGGAAUUGCUUUCAAAACUGCUAGACUUGAGUAUGGUAGGGGGUGAUAGAAUUCCUAGUGUAGAGGUGAGAUUCUUAGAUAUUAGGAGGAAUACCGGUGGCGAAGGCGGUCACCUGGGCCAUUACUGACGCUGAGGUGCGAAAGCGUGGGGAGCAAACAGG
rnacentral:rRNA from 1 species